rnacentral:lncRNA from 13 species
AUGGAGUCCUGCUCUGUCGCCCAGGCUGGAGUGCAGUGGCAUGAUCUUGGCUCACUGCAACGUCCACCUCCGGGGUUCAAGCAAUUCUCCUGCCUCUGCCUUCUGAGUAACUGGGACUACAGGCUGGAAGAAAAAUAUGGUUUCUUGAUUCCUGGUCUGAAGUUCUUUCCACUUUCCACAUCUCUAUGCUCACUCAAAGCCAAAAACUAUGUUAUUCAUCAGGUGGGUUGCCUUCUUACAGAGGUGAGUGGGUUAAAUAGAGCUAAAUGCCAUUACAACUGUUAUGGUUAUUCAAGCUUGCUGACUUGAUCUGCCUGCUGUGGAUCUAUCUUCAACUACAAAGCCCUGCGAAAGAGUCCACUGUCCUGUAACAUAAUUGUUGUUUUUAGGUCAAAACAAUUAUGUGAAAGUUCUUGCAAGAAAAGUUCUCUUUUUGACACCCUUGUAUUCUUAUCCUUUCCCUAAGUAAUGGUGUCUUAUCUUAGAGAAUAAUGGAGCUUAGAUACCCAAAUGCCCUGUGCUGAACCCACUUGGCCAUUCUUGAUGUUUCAAUGAGGAGAGAUGAGGAGAUAAUCAAGGAAAAGAAUCUUCUAGUAUAUGGCUAUGCUUAAUUUAUGUCAUGGAGAAGAGAAGGAUUGUCUGUCAGGAUGGAAAAUAACAAAUGAGAAUUUUAAUUAAUUAAACAUUUUGCCUAUAAAAUUGGAUUAUAAUUAAUUGAUAUGUCCUUGAAUAGAAAUGCUUUUUUCCAUACAGUAAUCCCAUGCAGCCCCUUCCUACCAGCAUUUAAUGGUCUUGGUAUUUCGUGAUAAAUAUUUUCUUUCAAGUUAGAAAGAAAAACCUCACAUAUUUAAAAAAAGAGAAAGGUACUCCAAAUCCAUUAUGUUUGAUAUCAUUUUCUUUCUAUUUUAUUCUUCCUUUAGGUUUAGAAUAGAUGUAUAUCAAAUACAUUUUUUGGCCAAAUGCCCAAUGGCUCUUAGAUCAACAUUUUUCAGAGGCUAAUGCUAGAUACCAUCAUAGAAUGAACUCCUUAGAUAUAAAAAGAAAUGUGAACUAUAACUGCAACUAUGCUUAUAUAAUAAAAAACUUAGUAAUCAGAUUUUAAAAGUUUGA